rnacentral:lncRNA from 1 species
CGGCGGUCUGGCUGUCAAUCAUCCACAGGCUCUCCCAGAGCUUGCUAAGGUGCCUGGCAACACCUGCCGAAGUCGACAACUCACAGAGACCCAUCAUUCCACCGGCAGGACAGAAGGACAAACUAUGUUCUCAGCAGUGCUCACACUGCUUUGGGACCAAGAUGCCAUUAAGCUUUAUGCCUCUGACACGCACGGGCAGAUGUGGGAGACACCGGGCACCACGUAGGGGGAGGCUGAUGGCAGGGCACGGAGUAGGGUGUGCUUCGGAGCCACAGUGCUGGUGCCGGGCCCCUGCAGGGGUCCUGCACCGUGGGUGUUGAAGCACUGUUUUCUGGGCGCAGAGUGUCAGGCCGGCCUAGGAAGUGCUGUGAGCCAGGACUUAACUACAGAAAGCUCUGUGGUCUGCGCUGAACACCCUACACAGUCAUUCCUGCUACCUGGAGGGGGUUAGUCCCAGGAACCCUGCAGACGCCAGCAUCCAAGGAUGCUCCCGUCCUUCAUUUAUUAUUAUUAUUUUAUUAGGGACAGGGUCAUGCUGUGCAGUCCAUGGCAAACUCGGCAGUCUUCCUGCCUCAGCCUCCCCAGUGCCGGGAUAGCAGGUGAGCAACAGACACUACGCCUACCUGGAGCGCACAAGUGAUUGCAUAGAACGAUGCUCGUCCCCUGUACCUUAAGUCUCCUCACUGCGGGGCUUGGCUAACGUGACAUGGCUCAGGCUGUUACUGGGGUUCGGGUGCCAGAGUCUCCUUCUGGAGCUCGUUUCUGGAUUCUUCUUGACCUGAACAAAGAAUUGGACGACACAAGUGUGAGAGGCAGCAGGCUGUUACACGUGUCCAAGGCGGCUCUGCAGAGCGCGUGCUGGCCAGUGGCAGGGGAAGACCGUGCCUGAGCUAAAAUCAUCCUCCCAGCCAUGGCAGGGCAAGGAGCAGCACGAGGUCAUGGUGGCAGAAGUGGCAGAAGUCAGACUGAGGGUCGCAGCACAGGGCCCCUUCCUGUCCGGCUGCGCCACCUCGGCUCUCACCGUGACGCCACUUCCCACCCUGCUGGCUCCCCUGCCACUGUCCACGACACCCAACACGUCAUCCUGGCACUCGAGCCACCCAGGACCAGCGUAGGAGCCCAGGCAGGCGACAAAGCCCCUUCCUGUCCCUGCCCGAAGGCAGAGAGGGCACUGGCCUGCAGGCCCGGUGUCCUGUCACCGCGGGCAUCUCUCCGUCCCGGGUCCCUGCUCUGUCCAUCGGGCAGUCUUAACCCUCUUGGUGGCACCAGAGGGCAUGGGGAACCAGCUGCCCUCACUACAGCCGAGCCGACCCAGCGUCGGGCCAGCUGACUCACUCCAAGGCACCCACAGCCUCCGCGCUCUUCUGCGUCAUGGGCAGCUCUGGUUGCCGGCGGGCAGGAACGGUGCAGGCAUCAUGAACUUGGCUCUCGUCAGUCACAGACAGCCGGAGAGGCUUGUGAUGCUGACACACGCCUGGCAUCCAGCUCAUGGGGAGACGGAGGCAGGAGGAUGGCAAAUUCCAGGCCAGCCCAGGCAACCUGGAGAGACCCUGUCUCACAGUGAAAAACAGAAGGGCUGGGCGUAGUGCGUGGCAGAGCGCUUGCCUCGUGCGUGUGGCCCAGCGUGGAGAACGACAGCCUUGUGGUGGUGCUGGGCUUCAGUGCUGGUGGGCGUGCAACAGCAGAACACGGCACGGUGGCGUGUCCAGUGCUCCAGGAGGGAGGAGUCUGAAGGCGGCAGGGCCGCAGUGGCCACUCCCAGCCCUGUGUGGGAGCAGCAGGCAUCCGGGGCUGUCCCCGGGCCAGGCCCUCUGCUUUGCUGCCUCUCCAUCCUCCCUAACUCUGUAACGUGUUCUGAGGAGACAGAACAGUAGCAGGAGAAGGAAGGACCCAGCCGCUGCAGGGGGGCCCAGGCUGUGUCCACUGGCCACAACCUCGCACGAGGUCGCCGUGGCUCUGCCUGUUUGACUCACUGCCUGUCCAGCCCCGAGGAGGCGCCACAUCCGGGACAGGACGGGCCUAGCCCACCGGGGCAGGGCAGGGCACCGGCUGGAAAACCGUGGGCAAGUUGGGCUGUGUGCCCAGCGCCGUGUGCACAGAUGCACUACUGCACGGUGGGGGGGCUGACACAGGGAGGUGUGCGGGGUGUGCUCGGAGCGCAGGGUGACCGUAUAACACACGCGUAGCGUGUCACAGUGGGACGUCUCCUGAGCCCCUUCCGAAUCCUCGCCUUCGCCUCCGUCACGCUCAUCCCAUGCUUCUUGCGCUUCCUGCGGCAGCUCUGGAGCCCUCUUUCCCGAGUGUCCUCCCCAGGUGUGGUCCAAGUUCUGCGAGUGGACAGGAGCUCGUGAGACAGACGCUGUGUCUUCAUCCGCCCGAGUCACCGGACCCGGCACCGUGUGACUUCCGGCUCUUAGGGGCAGCAUGACCACGAGAGGCCAACGUUCUGGGUCCGUUCAGGACGUCGAGGCGGCCAGGGCAGCGCGGCUGAAGGCGCGCAGGAGAGAGGACCCUGGAACUGCUGCAGGAAGUGGCCAGGGCACGGAUGGGACGCGCGUGUGCACAGCCGGAGGGUUUGGGGGAAUUUGUUUGUGCUGUGAUGAAGUUUUAAAAAAAUUCAAGCG